rnacentral:lncRNA from 1 species
AUUCUUCUCCUAGAAUGAUGCUCCCUCCAUCACCUUAUUUUCUUCUUACAUCUCUCCAUUUCUUCUUAAAUUCCAAAUCUAUCUCUUUUUACUUUUUACUUUUAUCAAUUUUACUUUUUUAUUUUUUAAAACCUUAAUUUCAAUCCCUUCUCACUUUCACUUUCCCUUUCACUCUCACCCGUAAGCCCCCACACCCCAUCCACUUCCACUAACAUUUUUCAUUUUUGUUUUUUUUUAAUAGGUGAGAUGCCCUGUAUUAUAUUUUGAAAAAGAGAAAGAAAAUAAUAAUGUAACAUCCCAAUAAUUAUAGUAUUAAACUAUAAUAUAG